UUUCCGUGGGUGGACCUGCGGAAGGAUCAUUAUUGUAUAACCGAGGUGCGAGGGCUGUCGCUGACCCGAAAGGUCGUGCACGCCCGAGUGCCCUCACACACAUCCAUCUCACCCCUAUGUGCACCACCGCGUGGGUCCCCCUUUGGCUUGUUCGGAGGGGGGCUUACGUUUUCACACAAACUUUGUAUGCAGUGUAGAAUGUAUUUUUUGUUUUUGCGAUCACGCAAUCAAUACAACUUUCAACAACGGAUCUCUUGGCUCUC
rnacentral:misc_RNA from 1 species